AAUUUUCUAUUUAAGCUUAGGUCAUUGGGGUUAGGAUGUACUAUCUCAGUUCAAUCGUAAUUUGUGCAUGAAUAAAAAUAUAACAUAAUCGAAAAUUGAUUCUUUAAAAGCAAUUAUAACAAUAUUUUUUAUACAAUGAAGAGAGAUUAAGAUAAAUGAAGAACGAUUAGCAGUCAAGUUUUCAAUUGAAUGACAAUGAAAACGUAGAGAAAGCAUAGGACCCUCAUUCCGUUUCCUCCUCCUCUAGUACACUUGUAGCUCCACAUAAGCCUUAUUUUCCGCCCUAGCAUAAGUUCUUCGCGGUUAAGUUGGAAUCUUUUACACUUUGAAUGCCAUCAACAAUAAAUAGCAAUUAAUUAGACCAUAGACAUGUGUGCCGUCAUAAGAUGUAUGAAGAGCUUAUAAGUUGUCAAAGUGAUUGGAUAUUCAAGCUUAUAAGUUAGAAAGAGAUAAUCGUAGUUAGAGAGAGAAAAUUUAUGGGAAAUGAAAUUGAAAGGCUAUGUGUUGAAAAUAACAAACCAUAGUAAAGUUACAGUUGUAAAUUGAUUGUUUCUUAUAAGAUCAUGAAAAAAUAUGGUGGAAUUGUGAAAAUUAGAUGAUCAUUUUUAACAAAGGUAUUGUUGUAAUCCGGUAAAAUCCAUGAAGAAUUUAAAAAGCGGUGAACUUAAUCCCAUGAACAAUACUCCUUCCAUCAAAAGGGCGAUUUUGCCAAACACUCUUAAAUAGCUUAUAAGUUGUUUUAAGCAGCUUAUGAGCUCAGCCAAACACCCUUUUUAGUUGUGCCUUUCUUGAGCUAUUCUUCUCAAUUUUCACGUACCCCUUCUCGGGCACCUUUGAUCUUUUGUGACCAACUCGAGUAUGUGGCUUGGUCCAAGUUACGUAGUUCCAACGCCGAAAAGUCAUUGUGUUCCUGCCGUCGCCUUUGCUUGCUUCAUGAAUCUCACCAACACAUUAUCCUUCUCAUCCAACUUUCCGAACACUUCAACUCACCAACACCUUUGCUUGGUCCUCUCCUAUUCCUAAGGAGACCUUGGCGAUUCCAUUUAACACUACCAUGUCUUUCUCCUCCUCUAACCCUAUUAUGGGUCUUGGGGACAGCUUCCCUUCCCCCAGUGAGGGCAGCGGAGGAACGGAUGCAGUGUUGGUGGCAUUAGAAAGAGUUGGCAGCGGUUUUGGUGAAGAAGCAAGAAAGAUUGGAUGAGAAAUUAGAGAGAGAGAUAGUGAAGUCGCGCGGUUAGGGUUCAAGUCUAAACCUUGACAUUUUUGGGUGAGUCGUAUAUAUAUAAUUCAAUGGCACCGCCAUAUCCACCAUCACAGCCGCCAUACAGAAAAACUGCAUGCCAUGGGGUGGUGCCGUGGUGGUGGUGGCGGAAUCCUCAAAAACCGCCACCACCAUGGUGGAAACUUAACGACAUUGAUGUAUAUUUUCAACUUGGAAAACUAAAUAAAUGAAUUAUGCAUUAGAAAUAUAUACUAGAGUGAGGUUGGUAAUUUUAUACUAAAAGGAAUCCCUUUGACAUUUAUGAAAGGUGUCAUCAGAUCUCUCUAGGAUAAAAACCGAGGGUGUAUAGAGAAAAGAUCUUAUUAGCUCUUUCUAACUUCUUAACUUUAAGGUUAUAGAAUGUUAUAAUAAUAGAAUACACAAAUGAUCACAAGUUGUUAACUAAUAAAGCAUCACAAUCAAAAGCAUCUUUCAUCUAUGUUCUUUACGGGAGGGGACCCCAGUUGAACCACUUGAAAGAUCUUUUUAAGAUAAAUUCAUUAAUAUAGUUGGAUGAGAAAUGUAGAGAACAAAAAACAUAGUAUAUGAUAUUUUGUCCAAAAAAAAGAGAUAUAUUCAUAGAAAUUGUAGAGUGAGAUUACAAACCUUAACCUCCCUCUCUCUUUAUCUUGAACACGACAAGCUAGCGACAUCAGCAGCAAAGACAGUUUAUCUACUUAGGUUGAUGUGAUACAGUUUAUCUUUAUGCCCCUUUUGAAUCUUUGAAAUGUAUAAUUUUACAGGCUGAAGCUGAACAGAUGCUUUUAAAUGAUUUGAGAAUCCGUUAUACUUAUUCUACAAGGAUGAUUUGGGCAAAAUAAAACAAUAGAAAAAGAAAAGGAAACUGAUGUAUUGUGUAUUUACCAGAAGGGGGAAUGCACGUCAAUAUUCCUCUGGAGGGGCGUUAAAUGUUGACAUUCGUGGAGAUUGUACAAAUCAGGUCCUGUCCUAUUCUUGGAGGUUUAGAUUGAAGACCUUUCCUCAGUUAGUAGACUUGCUAGUAGAUUAAUCUUCUAUACCUAGAGCUAUAUAGGUAGGCUAAACAAUGUAUUAAUUUGGUGAGAAUUUCUGCACUGGAAGUUAACUAAAAUAGUGAAUAGUUCACUUCCAAUGAAGGUGUCAAACCAGUUUACAUGGUGAUCAAAUUUCUAGCAUGAUUUAAUUUUAAGAUUUUUGCAGGGCCCAUCUAUGCUAUAGUUGCACCUAUAUAUGUAUGAUGUAUCUAUACAGAAGUUCGCAUUUAGCGACUAUAGGCCAGAAGAUAAGAACAAGUGGCAAGACAUGCCCCAGUUGUGGUAGCUUUUCUUUGUUUUUUUAUCCCUCCACUUGGUUACAUCUUACAAUCCGUUACUGAUGAUUGUGAUGUAUGAAAAAUUCUAAUGUGGAGUCUCUUGCUAUAUAGAUUGGAAUUGGUGAUUAUCUAUUUAAGCAAUUUUUAUCACCAUAUCUUGACUCAUACCUCAAAAUAUUUGAAGCUAAUAUAAUAUUAUAAUGAGAUUUUUGCUGCUGAUAUGCUUGUGUUAAAGAUGUAUAAUAUCCUCUAGAGACUGGUGCUAGCUAGCUAGCACAUGUGCGUGCAUUAUCUUCCUUUUUAUAUUUAUCAUUCACUUCAAACUAUCUAAAAUGUUUAUUGUAUGAUUUACAAAACUUCAUUACUUUGUAUGAUGAAAGAUUUCCUACUUGAAAAGUCUUAUGCUUGAGUCGGCAAGAAUGUCUGGAUAUUUACCUCGAGAUUAUGCUUUAUUUUUUCAGCCAUUUGCAGUUGUUAUCUUUUAUCAUUCAUGCUAGGCCCAUGGACUUGUGUCUUUUAGUACGUGUCUUCUUUUAUUUGUGAGUGAUAUUCUGACUUAACUGAACUAGAAUUGCUAUCCAGCUUGAGUGAGAUCCUGCAACGAUAUCAUAGUCGGACUGAGACAGAUGCAGGUCCCUCAAGUCAAAGUUGUGAGACACAGGUAAGCGGAUCUGUUUAUGAAAUUAAAGUGGGUUUAAUAAGGCCUCUGUGCAGGUUUGUUUUUAGUAAAAGCCAAAACAUGUCUGAAGGUAUAUAUUCAAGUAUUUAUUCAUCUUACCAUAAUUUGUGGGACAGUUUUUAUAUAAAUAUAAUUUGUGGGACAGUUUUUAUAUAAAUAUAAAUUUGAAAGCAAAUAUAAUAAUAUAUGUAUGGAUGUUUACAUGCGUGUCAAUGUAAGAUGUAGAUGCAAAAUAUAGAUUAUAGUAUUUAACAUAAAUAAAUUUUAAAAUCAAUAGUUUUAUCAUGGACCAUGCAUGCAUGUAGUGAUUUGAUUGGAAGUUAAUUUGAAAUUGGUCUAUAUUUUAGCCUUAGUUGAACAAAAAUUCCAUAAUUUCAUUUGCCAAUAGAUUUCUUUAACACCAAUGUGUGAUUAUGCUUAUGCAUGUUCCAUACUAAUUACUACAUUCUCUUCAUACAAAAUUGUAUAUGUUUAUAGUAAAACGUUGUAUCCAAGUGUAUAACAUAAUAAAUGAAUUUACAUUUUCAAAGAUUUGUGCGUAAAUGUACAUAAAAACUACAUAUAAAUGUAAAGAGCAUAGGGUUAAUAGUAGUUAUGACCUCAACUUUAAUUUAUCCUUUAAUAUCCUGAACUUUGCAAUAUGUUUAAUUUUGUUCUGGGCCGUCGGAUAUCUGACUAGCUCACCCAUAAAUGCAAGAAAAAAANAAGAUAUGAUACGAUUAACACGUUUUACAGAUGAGCCUAGUUUGAUAUCCGACGACUGAUAUUUUUGCUGGGAGGCAAAAUUAAACAAAUUUGCAAAGUUCAGGAUAUUUAAAAAAGGGAUUAUAGCAAAAAAAUACACGAACUUUGAUAAAAGUUGCAAUUUUCACCUGAACUUUCAAAUUAGCCAAAAUAUACCUGAACUUAUAUUUUUUGUUGUAAAUUUCACCUGAACUUGCAAUGAUUGAACUCCGUCGAGGUGAAAUUUACAACAAAAAAUAUAAGUUCAGGUAUAUUUUGUCUAAUUUGAAAGUUCAGGUGAAAAUUGCAACUUUUAUCAAAGUUCGUGUAUUUUUUGGCUAUAAUCCCUUUAAAAAAUAAGUUAAAGUUGGGGUCAUAAUUAACUACUGUUAACCCUAUAACAUAUGCUUAGUUGUUUGAUAUAUUUUUUGUAAGUUCAUAAGCAUUACAUUAUUUAUGAUUGUAAUCAUUAUUUUUAUGAAGAUUGUAUGUAGGGGUGGUUUUUUCUAGCUUGUACAUUUUUAGACAUAUAUAUCUAUAGUCCAAAUUGUGUGACUUAUUUAGCAGACACUCGGUUUGAGUUAUUUUUCAAAUUUUGCUUCUCAACUAUUUUUCCUAUAAUUUAGCACUAGUCUCUAGAACAGCACCUAGUAAGAAUAUUUGUGAUACUUCAAAUAUUUGAGUAUCCAUAUAAUUAUAAAGAAAAUGGGUUUUAGAUAGUGAUUGAAUCAUAACUGAAAACAGGGAUCAUAGUCCUAAAUUAAUUGUAUGUGUAUAUUAUGAAGGUCAUUGGUUGUGUUUCCAUGUCAGGCUAAAUAUUCGCGUUUCCUGACAUGUGAGGAGCUCCUACAAGUAGUAGAAAGGCAGCCACUUCAUCCCUCCCUCUCCCUCCCCUUACACUUUACUUUGUUAAGUUGGCAGUCAUGACUACAACAGCUCUUUCUAUUUAAUUCUGCAGGGAGCUUGAGGAGCCAUCCGCCGACGACCUCAGUGUCGCCGACUUUAUACAUCUUGAGAAACAAUUUGAGACUGCACUAAUACAGGCCAGAGCAACUAAGGUAACUGAACUUUCAUUCUUAAUAUGAAGUGAUAAUGAGUUAUGCUGCUUACCAGCCAACUGUUUUGUCGUAUCGGCAUGCCUUUGUGUUAAAAGUUAUGCCCAUUUGCAGUCCAAGCAGAUGAUUCCGUUGAUUCUCAAACCUAGGAAGGAGCUCAGGCAAAAUUAUACUACAAGAUGAGAAAUGCUUGUUUGGUCUUCUAAUAAAAAAUAAAAAUAUAUAUAUGCACUAGGAAGGAGCUUGUGUAUAUAUAUAUAUCUCCUGACUGACCACAUAUUAUCAAAUGCAUAAUCUGGAUUGAGUUGAGCGACCUAUUAUACGUACAUAUGUAUCAAUUUUACAAUUUUCUUAUGCUUAACUUCCAUUAAUAGUUGGUAGAUUGAUUCUUAUUUGAUUGCCGAGUUUGUUGCUUAUGCAGACACAAUUGCUUCUGAAGUCUAUAUCAAGCCUCGAGGGAAAGGUAAACAUUUGCAUCUUGUAUUUUUGGUGAAGACUGCUAAGCCAUGAACCAUGCAAAUGAGUUAUAUAUAUUCACAACGGGUUUAAACAUAAGGAGAGGAAUUAAAGAGAUGCUGUGUAUUACAAAAGUGGAAAAGUUAAGGAGUCACCUUAUUUAUACCUUGAUUUUGAACAGGAAAAGCUGUUAGAGGAAGAGAAGAUGUUGUUGAAGGGGAAGGUAUAUUUGUAGACUUGGAUAUACAAUACAACUGAAGUAAUGAUGUUUAGUUAGUAACUCACUGAUUAAGAACAGAUUGGUGGGAGCAAGACGAAAAUACCGGUGAUCGAUCUCAACGCCCUUCCUUCCGAGGAGUGAAUGGCUGAAUACUAGCUCAAGCUCUCAGAAUAAUAAGUGGCAAGAAACACAUUCACAGCUCAGUUUUUACAUUCUGAAAGCCCGAGCAAAUCACACAUUCUCUCACCUUCUUGACGAAACCGGAUGCAUAUAUAUAUUGGUGGUUCAGCAUGGAAAUAAACAAGAAGAAAGCAACAUCCAUGGCAAAAAGAAAAGAGAUGAGACGUGGCGGAAUGUGAUUGGGGAGAAUCCACCUUUCAUCAAAGACUAAUGCGUCUCCACUUGUAUUUGUAUCAUAUUCAUAUAUAUACGCUCAAGAGAGAUGCUGCGAUUUAUUUAAAUCUUAAUUAAUACCUGAAUAAAUACUCGUAUAGACAGUCGACGGUAGGGAAAGUAGAAGAAAGACGUGGUGGAAUGUGAGUGCUACAAUAUUAAUUAGGCUGCCCACUUUGUUUUUUAACAACAUAACUUUAAUGGAAUCGCAUCUACGUCGACGAUACGUUCACUUCUCUGCACCCAUAGCUUAAUCGAAUAGAUUAUAGAGCCAAAUGUGCCACGUCUACACGUCGUCUCCUCCCAAUAAUUCAUAUGCAUG
rnacentral:lncRNA from 1 species